UUCUAACGAUCCAAACCACAAGUCAAUCAUUUUUCUUUUCUGUUUCAUCCCAAAAAUCUACAGGAUACCUUUUUCAGAUGCAUUACCGAGCAGAAUAUAGACCACCCGUCAAGAAAGAAAAAGGAGGUUGAUAAACAGUUGUGCAGAAGUAGAGGAAAACUCUGACUAAUUUUCCAUGCUCAAGAUCGGAGCUAAUGGGGCUGUGAUAUUCACCUCCUGUGACAAAGGCAAAGCCUGUCACCUGACUUCCUCUAAAAGCAACAAAUCCUGACUGGUUUCGUGGACCUUGAGUGUCUAUGGGUGAGGAAUUUCAUCAAACAUAUUCAGUCCACUCAAAAUGGUUACAAUAUUUUCUUUCCCUAAGUCAAUUUUUGCAGAACACAUGUACAAUAUGCAGCUGACAAGAAAAUCAAAAAUAACAGCAGGAAGAUGCUGGGAAGAUCAGGAGACAAACUGAUAGGAAGAUAAUCAGAAGUUCAAUGUGGACGGGCUAACAGGAAUAUCAACAGCACCAAUGGGUUGAAACUAGGAGUUCUCAAUUGAAUUUUGUCUAGGUUAGAUGCUGCUGCCCAUCCUUUUCAAGUUCAAAUUUAUCUGGGCAUGUCUACAUUUGCACAAAAGAUACUUUGCUUGGGAAAGCUGAAGAAUAUGAUACUAGGCCAUGCAACUUUCCUUGGCUUCUCUCAUUUGUUAAAAUUGAAAAUUUGUAUUUGGGUGGUAGUAUGAAAUGAAAUUCUUGAAAUCUCAGUUCAGUAGAUUGCAUUAGGAAGAUGGGGGGGAGGGGGAACCAUCUUGAAAGAAUUCUGACUACAUUCUAGCCAAGAAAACUAUAUGACCAUAUCCAUGUAAUUACCAGGGAAUAACUUUAAUUUAAAGGAGGUGUUUUUCAUUAAUAAUCAAUCCAGAGAAAAAUACAUGGAAUGUUGAGGGCUGCUCUUUAAAAGUGGACGGUCCAGAACCCAUUGAGGGAAUUAAGGGGGGGGGUGUUAAGGAGUAAGGUCAGACAUUAAUGUACAAUUUUGACCGUUUAACCACACCUUUAAUUUUUCAAAAUGCAUGUUAAAUAAUGCAUGCAAAACAACUAGAAUUUUAGUUCCGCCCAGAAACCAAAUAGAUGGGAUCUAUUUGGUUUCUGAUAGCUUGAUUUCCAUAUAGUCCUAUUCCCAAUUCUUUUUUCUGAAUACAAGGAAGAGAGGGAGCUUGUGCACCUAAUCUCUUCUACCUCCAUCACCAUCCUCCUGCUCGCUCUGAAUUGCAGUAAAUACCACCAUGAAAAGAAAACUUAGGGUUCUACUUAUCCAUUAGUGAUUUAGAAACCUAACAUUUUACAAGAAUCUAUAUCAGUCUAAUUGAGAAGCAAUGUGCAAUCUUCCAGAGGAUGAGCAUAAAUGACCCUAACUAUUCACACUGAAUAUAUACUAUACUGCUCAAAAAAAUAAA